GUCACAUUUCGCCGAGAUCCCCUCCCCAACCAACCGGCCGGCACAGCUGCUUCACCGCUCCCGUGAGCCCUGCGGAAGCGUUAUGGAACCGUGUGAUGGAGCCUUUUCCACGUAAAGGGGCCGUGUGGGUGGCCUUCAGGAACGGGCCGAGGGGUUGCCGCGCGCCCUGCGACGACGGCGUCCGGCUCCCGGCGUGGCCGAAGCGUGCGGCCUCAGGACGCGGCCGUUCACAGGAGACCCUGACCGAGAGACGGCAGCCUGGCGAUGGCAGGAACUUCCCAGACGGCGAGGCAGCCUUCCUUGGCGCUCCACGUGGAUCCUCCCCGCCGGGCAUCCGAGAGCUAAGUCGAAGGCUAUGAAUUGCAGAGGGGCUGAAAGUGGGGUGCCGGGUCGGGACUCUGGACCUGGGAUUUUUAAGUCAGCUUUGGGGAUGGGGAGGUCCAGGCUGUGGCCCCUUAGGCCACGUGAAGGGAGAGCCUGACAUUUGUUCACAGUGCUGAGGUGCGCAGGACAGAGCAGUCCCGGGGCGUGUUGUAUCACUUGUCCGUCGUGCCUUCUGUGUCUUUUGUGCCUCUCCUGUUGUAUGUGCCUCACCUUAUUUCUUCUGGGGGCUAACCAGAAACCCCGGCGUCGCUCGUACCAUCUCCGAUCUCUGGGCUCUUCAGCCCGAUGCCAUCGAAGCUUUGCCUCAGGAGCUCGCAGAGGCCUUGGAAUUGCAUCUGUUUUGGAAAGCAUCCGAUCGGAUGUCUUUUAGAGGUCUUGUUCCGAGCUGUGUCAACAGCCGUGCGCCGUGAGGAUCCAUUGUUGCGGCUUAGGUCUUGAAGAAACACAAAGAUAGGUAGAGGACUGUGGCCCUAAAAUUCUCGGGCAUCCGUCUUGGCAGUUGCUGGAGUUCGUCAUUCCGUCAGCAUCUUCUUCCUCCCGGGUUCUGCGAGCUUCAUCAGCUCGCCUUCAUUCUCACCCGGCUCAUCUCGUUCCGCGUUCUCUCGGUCCUUGUGGCCAUUCUUGUGGCCCAGAGUUUUGUCUCCCCGUUGUGUCCCCUCGUCUGUUGUCUUGUGUGUCACGGGUGUCUGGGUGUAGUUGUCCCGGAGCUGCUCUGUCCUGCUGCCCAGCCUGGGUGUAGGUGUAAAAGGCCAAGUCCCAGGCCCCUGUAACUUGAAAUUUGUGAUGUAGGGUGUAGUUGGAGUCUAGCGGGUGUUCCUAGAUUGACACAAGAUGUCAGGAGCUGUGAAGUUACCCUGCAGCACUUUGACUUUUGUCUCAGCUUUCUUUCAGAUGCGGACGGAUGAAAUCGGUGGCAGAGCGCCCCAUCCAGGGUAAGGGGGUUCCCCCGAGAAGGUAAGUCAAUGUUUGUCUUUGCAGGGCAACUGGAACCGGUCACUGUGUUACAGGUCUCCUCUUUGUCUUUAUUUUUAGGAAGUGAAGCCGGCUAGCAGCGGUCAAGGCGAAGCGGGCAAGGCGGUCCAGUCACAUUUCGCCGAGAUCCCCUCCCCAACCAACCGGCCGGCACAGCUGUUUCGCCGCUCCCGUGAGCCCUGCGGAAGCGUUAUGGAACCGUGUGAUGGAGCCUUUUCCACGUAAAGGGGCCGUGUGGGUGGCCUUCAGGAA